rnacentral:rRNA from 1 species
CAAGUAGGCGGUUUGGUAAGUCAGAUGUGAAAUCCCCGGGCUCAACCUGGGAACUGCAUCUGAGACUGUCAAACUUGAGGACGGAAGAGGAGAGUGGAAUAUCCGGUGUAAGGGUGAAAUCUGUAGAUAUCGGAUAGAACACCAGUGGCGAAGGCGACUCUCUGGUCCGUUUCUGACGCUGAGAGGCGAAAGCUAGGGGAGCAAACAGGAUUAGAUACCCUGGUAGUCC